UACGUAGGGUGCAAGCGUUGUCCGGAAUUAUUGGGCGUAAAGAGCUCGUAGGCGGUUUGUCGCGUCUGCUGUGAAAACCCGAGGCUCAACCUCGGGCCUGCAGUGGGUACGGGCAGACUAGAGUGCGGUAGGGGAGAUUGGAAUUCCUGGUGUAGCGGUGGAAUGCGCAGAUAUCAGGAGGAACACCAAUGGCGAAGGCGGCUUUCUGGUCUGCUCUUGACGCUGAGGCGCGAAAGCUAGGGUAGCAAACGGG
rnacentral:rRNA from 1 species